rnacentral:rRNA from 1 species
CCAAUAGCGUAUAUUAAAGUUGUUGCAGUUAAAAAGCUCGUAGUUGAAUUUCGAGAUCCGUACGCUGGUCGUGCCUUCGGUAUGCACUGGUGUCACUGGUUUCUCCCUUCUGAAGAACCGUCAUGUCAUUAAGUUGGUGUGGCGGGGAAUCAGGACUGUUACUUUGAAAAAAUUAGAGUGUUUAAAGCAGGCUCGCGCUUGAAUACAUUAGCAUGGAAUAAUGAAAUAGGACGUUUGACCCUAUUUUGUUGGUUUCUAGGAUCGACGUAAUGAUUAAUAGGGAUAGUUGGGGGCAUUAGUAUUCAAUUGUCAGAGGUGAAAUUCUUGGAUUUAUUGAAGACUAACUACUGCGAAAGCAUUUGCCAAGGAUGUUUUCAUUAAUCAAGAACGAAAGUUAGGGGAUCGAAGACGAUCAGAUACCGUCGUAGUCUUAACCAUAAACUAUGCCGACUAGGGAUCGGAUGAUGUUAAUUUUUUAAUGACUCAUUCGGCGCCUUACG